GUAUCUCGAUUGUCGGAUUGGACCAUUUCGAUUGGAGGCGGGUUGAUGCUGUCACGAGAGAAUUGCAGUUGCUAGUCCCCUGCAGACCACCAACUGUAGUUAUCUUUGGUUUUGUUUAUGCUUCUCAUUUGACUAUGUUUUAGACUUGGUUGAUUUGAUACUUGGAUAUUGUAUGGUUUGUACCUGUCGAUGGAUUUUUAUUCGUUAUGUUUUACUA